UCGAAGGGUAUAUGGUGGAUGCCUUGACACACGAACGACGAUGAAGGACGUAGGAGCCUGCGAUAAGCCUCGGGGAGGUGGCAACCAACCUGUGAUCCGGGGAUAUCCGAAUGGGGAAACCCCCUGUCCGUUUGGACGGGAUCAUGCACUGAAUACAUAGGUGUAUGAAGAACACCUGGUGAAUUGAAACAUCUUAGUAGCCAGAGGAAAAGAAACUAACUCUUCGCGCAAGCGAAGAAACAUUCCCUUAGUAGUGGCGAGCGAACGGGGAAAAGCCAAAACUCUUCUCUCUCUUUGCAGCAAUGCAAGGUAUGGGUGUAGGCCCAAUGGAAGAAGGGCGUUGUGAGAAAAUUAUUUUGAACCCCUACAAAGGUUCAGGUAGGAUUUGUUCGAGGGAGUUCCUCUUCUGGAUCCCCCGCCUUCGGCGGGGGGCACGGAUGAGGUGCUCUCCAAUUCGUAGCAGAAUGGGCUGGAAUGCUCAACCAUAGAAGGUGAAAGUCCUGUACGCAAAACGAGUUGGGACCUACGAUAAUUUCUCUCGAGUACCAUGGAACACGUGAAAUUCUAUGGGAAACCAGGGCGACUAUCGCUCUAAGGCUAAAUACGUCGUGUGAUCUAUAGUGAACAAGUACCGUGAGGGAAAGGUAAAAAGCACCCCGGUGAGGGGAAUGAAAAGUAUCUGAAACCAUAUACUUACAAGCAGUCAGCGUCCCGCAUUGCGGGAUCAUGGCGUGCCUAUUGAAGAAUGAGCCAACGAGUUUGUUCGGUAGAGUGCGGCCAAGCCCGAAAAGGGCCAAGCCACAGUGAAAGCGAGCGUGAUAAACGCGACCUAUUCAUUCUACCGACAAGACCCGAAGCCGUGUGACCUAUCCAUGGACAGGAUGAACUCCGCAGAAAUGCGGGGGAAGGUCCGAACCCACGCGCCGUACAACACGCGGGGACGAUCUGUGGAUAGCGGAGAAAUUCCAAUCGAACUCGGCAAUAGCUGGUUCUCCUCGAAAUAGCUUGAGGGCUAGCCUCCCGAAAUUUCUUACUGGUGGUAGAGCACUGAAUUGGUGAAGAUGGCGUAAGCCUACUUUACUAAACCAAACUCCGAAUGCCAGUGUAGAUUAUCGGGGGAGUCAGACCGUGGGGGCGAAGCUUCACCGGUCAAAAGGGAAACAGCCCAGAUCCUCAUAUAAGGUCCCUAAAUCGAGAUUAAGUGUUAAAGGAGGUGCAAAAGUUCAGACAACUAGGAGGUUUGCUUAGAAGCAGCAAUCCUUUAAAGAAAGCGUAACAGCUCACUAGUCAAGCUCUUGCGCACCGAAAAUGUACCGGGGCUCAAAUCUCGUACCGAAUAUGGGAACUUCUGCCUUUUAGGCAGAAUUGGUAGAGGAGCGUUCGAAGUGCGGUGAAGUCGUUUCGACAAGAAACGGUGGAGCGCUUCGAAGUGAGAAUGUUGGCAUAAGUAGCACAAAGACGGGUGAGAACCCCGUCCACCGAAAACUCAAGGUUUCCUGGGCAACGCAAAUCGUCCCAGGGUUAGUCGGUCCUAAGGCGAGGCUGAAUAUGCGUAGCCGAUGGACAGCUGGUUAAUAUUCCAGCACCGCCACUGUAUGUAUGCGUUUUGACGCACGGGUAAAUUGUCUGCGUGUUCUGGUUAUGCACGCUCUUGGUCUGGCGUAAAGUCGGAUUGAGAGAAGGUUGCGGCGCAAGCCAAGACCAACAGAUAAGGAUCACGUGCCGCGAAAAGAAACGUAUACUUCAAUGCAGUGGUGUCCGUACCGCAAACCGACACAGGUGAGUAAGGAGAGAAUCCUAAGGUGAACGAGAGAACCCUCGUUUAGGAACUCGGCAAUACAACGGCCGUACCUUUGGUAUAUGGCCUGUCGCCGCAAGGCGACCUCAGUAAAAGAUCUCAAGCGACUGUUUAUCAAAAACACAGGUCCCUGCUAAACCGAAAGGUGAUGUAUAGGGGCUGAUGCCUGGCCAGUGUCAGAACGUUAAGGUGAGGGGUGCAAGCUCCGAGCUGAAGCGCUGACGAACGCCGGCGGUAACUAUAACCGUCCUAAGGUAGCGAAAUUCCUUGUCGGGUAAGUUCCGACCUGCACGAAUGGCAUAACGACUUGAGAACUGUCUCAACGAGGGACUCGGCGAAAUUACAAGAUGAGUGAAGAUGCUCAUUACCCGCGGCUAGACGAAAAGACCCCGUGAAGCUUUACUACAACUUGGCAUUGUCAUAACGUUUUUACUGCCGAGAAUACGUGGGAGACUAUGAAGGUUUGCCUUUGGGCGGACUGGAGUCGCAAUAUGGAAUACCACGCUGGAAUGAUGUUAUGACUAACCUCUUGCCCUUAUCGGGCAGAGAGACAGUGUCUGGUGGGUAGUUUGACUGGGGCGGUCGCCUCCCAAAACGUAACGGAGGCGUUUACAAAGGUUGGCUAAGCUCGGAUGGAAAUCGAGCUGAUAGGGCAAAGCCAUAAGCCAGCUUUACUGCAAGACGUACAUGUCGAGCAGUUGCGAAAGCAGAACUUAGUGAUCCGACCGUAUGUGGCGUAUUGCAUGCUUGUCCCGAAUUUAUUUCGGGAUCUGCAGCAGUAUGUCCUCGAUAUAGGACGGCGGAAGCUCAUCGGAUAAAAGCUACUCCGGGGAUAACAGGCUGAUCUCCUCCAAGAGUCCACAUCGACGAGGAGGUUUGGCACCUUAACGACGAAAUCGGGGUGCUAUGAAAGUAAUUUCAUACCAAGAGAAAAAUAAAUUCGGCUUAUAACGGUGAACUCCUCAUUGCACACCGAUAGGGUGCAAAAGGACAAUACCGUGGGAAGUCUUCCACUGAUGGUGGAAUGACCCCGUAACGACUGACCCGAAAGGGGAAGCUCUCAUUAUUCAAGCAUUACUCGAGGGCAAUACGCCGACUCCCAUCAUACAAUCUCAAGCUAUGGUGUAAAUACACCUUCUGCUGAAGAUGGGAUGAAGAUAUAGUCUACACUGUGAGUAAUCACAGAUACAUGUACGAUGUCGGCUCAUCGCAUCCUGGGGCUGGAGAAGGUCCCAAGGGUUUGGCUGUUCGCCAAUUAAAGCGGUACGCGAGCUGGGUUCAGAACGUCGUAAGACAGUUCGGUCUCCUAUCUGCCGUGGGCGUUAGAAAUUUGAGAAGACUCUUCCCUAGUACGAGAGGACCGGGAAGAACGAACCUCUCGUCGACGAGUUGUCCCACCAGGGGCAUUGCUCGGUAGCGACGUUCGGCACGGAUAAGCGCUGAAAGCAUAUAAGCGUGAAGCCGUCUUCAAGAUUAAAUUUCUUUUAAGCUCCCCGAGAGAUGAUCGGGUCGAUAGGCUCUACGUGGAAGUCCUGUAAAGGAUGAAGCGGAGGAGUACUAAUAGAGCGUAGAGCAUGC
rnacentral:rRNA from 1 species